rnacentral:misc_RNA from 1 species
GAUGAAGAACGCAGCGAAAUGCGAUACGUAAUGUGAAUUGCAGAAUUCAGUGAAUCAUCGAGUCUUUGAACGCACAUUGCGCCCCCUGGUAUUCCGGGGGGCAUGCCUGUCCGAGCGUCAUUUAAACCUUCAAGCUAAGCUUGGUGUUGGGUGACUGUCCGCUUCACGGCGGACUCGCCUCAAAAUUAUUGGCGGCCGGUACAUUGGCUUCGAGCGCAGCAGAAACGCGAACUCGGGCCCGUCGUAUUGGCUCCCAGAAGCUAUCUUCACAAUUUUGACCUCGGAUCAGGUAGGGAUACCCGCUGAACUUAAGCAUAUCAAUAAGCGGAGGA